UACGUAGGCAGCGAGCGUUGUUCGGAAUUACUGGGCGUAAAGAGUGUGUAGGCGGUGCUCUAAGUUCGGUGUGAAAUCUCCUGCUUAACUGGGAGGGUGCGCCGAAAACUGGAGUGCUCGAGCGUGGGAGAGGAAAGCGGAAUUCCUGGUGUAGCGGUGAAAUGCGUAGAUAUCAGGAGGAACACCGGUGGUGUAAACGGCUCUCUGGACCGUAACUGACGCUGAAGGCACGAAAGCGUGGGUAGCAAACAGG
rnacentral:rRNA from 1 species